AUAUAGGCCUGCCUAGACAACAUUUUUGGGCAGCACAGUCACGCCUUUUUUUUAUAACUGAGAAAAUACAUUCAUCUGCAUCCCACGACGGUGAGACAGAUCGCCUAAAUGAAUUAGGAAAUGUAUGGACUGAAUACAGCUUGAAGUCUAACCCGUCCCAAAUGAGCCCGCAAGGGCCCGUUCACACGGAACACGACGCAAAGGAGCGGGAUGGAAAAUAUGGAAAAGUUGGAACAGCACUCAUGUGCUAAAAACCAUUUCCAAAGCUUUUAGCACAGGUGACUGUCGGGAGCUCGUCUCGGUGCAGAAGAAGCAGUGUUCCAAUUGAGGGGGGGCUCGGACCUCCCAUAAGCAUUAAGGGACCCCCAUAACACCCAAAAAAUAUACUUGGCGUUGCGCAUUAUAACCAAUCACACGCGACUUAGAACGCAGUGGCCAAUCAGAGGCGCUCAGAACAGUCAUCGCUGAAACCUGGAGUUUUGUUCAGAUUCCCUCAUUAUAAGCAACGAAGUGCAGAUGUACGAACUAUGCAGCAUCCAGAGGCCCGUCCAAACCCAGCGAUCCCAUCACAUCCUGAGAUACCGUCGUCUGAUGGACUUCUGAAGGCAGCGUGCGAUAUCCCACAAUCCUGUGGCAAGCUGAUCUGAGCUAAAGGGGAAACAUGGUGUCUGAGAGUUGUAAAAUUGCAAGCACGGCGUAUAACCGAUGGCGACGCAGCAACGUAAACCGAGACGUUUCAGCGAUCGCGUCUGAUUUCGUCCUGCGUUCGUUCAUUUUCACCCGGUUCUGAGCGUCCAGUGACGAUCAG